CCUACGGGAGGCAGCAGUGGGGAAUMUUGCACAAUGGGCGCAAGCCUGAUGCAGCCAUGCCGCGUGUAUGAAGAAGGCCUUCGGGUUGUAAAGUACUUUCAGCGGGGAGGAAGGGAGUAAAGUUAAUACCUUUGCUCAUUGACGUUACCCGCAGAAGAAGCACCGGCUAACUCCAGUG
rnacentral:rRNA from 1 species